UUUCCGUGAUGAUGAAUGUUAGAAAUAUUACACAUGUUAGACUUCUUCAGAGAUGGACACCAUCGAUGAGACAAAUGUUCAUUCUGAGCAUAAU
rnacentral:snoRNA from 1 species